rnacentral:lncRNA from 1 species
CCUGCCUUGGCCUCCCAAAGUGCUGGGAUUACAGGUGUGAGCCACCACAUCCAGCCUAACUUACAUUCUUAAAGUGUCGAAUGACUUCUAGUGUAGAAUUGUGCAACCAUCACCAGAAUUAAUUUUAUUAUUCUUAUUAUUUUUGAGACAGAGUCUUACUCUGUUGCCAGGCUGGAGUGCAGUGGCGCGAUCUCAGCUCACUACAACCUCCGCCUCCCAUGUUCAAGCGAUUCUCCUGCCUCAGCCUCCCGAGUAGCUGGGACUAUAGGCAUGCGCCACCAUGGCCAGCUAAUUUUUGUAUUUUUAGUAGAGACGAGGUUUCACUGUGUUGGCCAGGAUGGUCUCCAUCUCUUGACCUCGUGAUCCACCCGCCUCAGCCUCCCAAAGUGCUGGGAUUAACAGGUAUGAACCACCGCGCCCAGCCUUUUUGUUUUUUUUUUUUUUGAGACAGAGUCUUCCUCUGUCUCCUAAGCUGGAGUGCAGUGGCAUCAUCUCAGCUCACUGCAACCUCUGCCUCCCAGGUUCAAGUGCUUCUCCAGCCUCAGCCUCCCAAGUAGCUGAGACUACAGGCACACACCACCACGCCUGGCUAAUUUUUGUAUUUUUAGUAGAGACGGGUUUCACCAUGUUGGCUAGACUAGUCUCAAACUCCUGACCUCAAGUGAUCUGCCCGCCUCGACCUCUCUCAAAGUGCUGGCAUUACAGGUGUGAGCCACGGUGCCCGGCCCACAAUUAAUUUUAGAACAUUUUCAUCACCCCUAAAAGAAACCCUGCACCCAUUAGCAGUCCCUCCACAUUUCCCCCUAGCCUGCCUCCCCUGCCUCACCAGCCCUGGCAACUGCUAAUCUACUUUCUGUGUCUAUGGAUUUGCCUUCUCUAAACAUUUCAUAUAAAUGGAAUUACACAAUGAGUGGUCUUUUGUGACUGGCU